rnacentral:rRNA from 1 species
UACGUAGGGGGCGAGCGUUGUCCGGAAUUACUGGGCGUAAAGGGUGCGUAGGCGGUUGUUUAAGUUGGAUGUGAAAUUCCCGGGCUUAACCUGGGGGGUGCAUUCAAAACUGGGCAGCUAGAGUGCAGGAGAGGGAAGCGGAAUUCCUAGUGUAGCGGUGAAAUGCGUAGAUAUUAGGAGGAACACCAGUGGCGAAGGCGGCUUUCUGGACUGUAACUGACGCUGAGGCACGAAAGCGUGGGGAGCAAGCAGGAUUAGAUACCCUGGUAGUCCACGCUGUAAACGAUGAAUACUAGGUGUAGGGGGUAUGAACUCCCCCUGUGCCGGAGCAAACGCAAUAAGUAUUCCGCCUGGGGAGUACGGCCGCAAGGUUGAA